AUGCACGAAAGCGUGGGGAGCAAACAGGAUUAGAUACCCUGGUAGUCCACGUCCUAAACGAUGUCAACUAGCUGUUGGGGCCUUCGGGCCUUGGUAGCGCAGCUAACGCGUGAAGUUGACCGCCUGGGGAGUACGGUCGCAAGAUUAACACUCAAAGGAAUUGACGGGGACCCGCACAAGCGGUGGAUGAUGUGGAUUAAUUCGAUGCAACGCGAAAAACCUUACCUACCCUUGACAUGUCUGGAAUGCCGAAGAGAUUUGGCAGUGCUCGCAAGAGAACCGGAACACAGGUGCUGCAUGGCUGUCGUCAGCUCGAGUCGUGAGAUGUUGGGUUAAGUCCCGCAACGAGCGCAACCCUUGUCAUUAGUUGCUACGAAAGGGCACUCUAAUGAGACUGCCGGUGACAAACCGGAGGAAGGUGGGGAUGACGUCAAGUCCUCAUGGCCCUUAUGGGUAGGGCUUCACACGUCAUACAAUGGUUGGGACAGAGGGUCGCCAACCCGCGAGGGGGAGCCAAUCCCAGAAACCCGAUCGUAGUCCGGAUCGCAGUCUGCAACUCGACUGCGUGAAGUCGGAAUCGCUAGUAAUCGCGGAUCGGCAUGUCGCGGUGAAUACGUUCCCGGGUCUUGUACACACCGCCCGUCACACCAUGGGAGUGGGUUUUACCAGAAGUAGUUAGCCUAACCGCAAGGGGGGCGAUUACCACGGUACGAUUCAUGACU
rnacentral:rRNA from 1 species